rnacentral:tRNA from 1 species
AGCCCCGUAGUCUAGCGGCCAAGGAUUCUGCCCUUUGGAGGCAGAGACAGCAGUUCAAAUCUGCUCGGGGCUA